CCUACGGGUGGCAGCAGUGGGGAAUAUUGGGCAAUGGGCGCAAGCCUGACCCAGCAACGCCGCGUGAAGGAAGAAGGCUUUCGGGUUGUAAACUUCUUUUAAGGGGGAAGAGCAGAAGACGGUACCCCUUGAAUAAGCCACGGCUAACUACGUGCAAGCAGCCGCGGUAAUACGUAGGUUGCAAGUGUUGUCCGGAUUUACUGGGUGUAAAGGGCGUGCAGCCGGGGAGACAAGUCAGAUGUGAAAUCAACGGGCUCAACCCGUGAACUGCAUUUGAAACUGUUUCCCUUGAGUGUCGGAGAGGUAGUCGGAAUUCCGGGUGUAGCGGUGAAAUGCGUAGAUAUAAGGAAGAACACCCAUGGCGAAGGCGGAUUACUAGACGAUAACUGACGGUGAGGCGCGAAAGCGUGGGGAGCAAACAGGAUUAGAUACCCCUGUAGUC
rnacentral:rRNA from 1 species